rnacentral:rRNA from 1 species
AUUGAACGCUGGCGGCAGGCCUAACACAUGCAAGUCGAGCGGAUGAAGGGAGCUUGCUCCUGGAUUCAGCGGCGGACGGGUGAGUAAUGCCUAUGAAUCUGCCUGGUAGUGGGGGAUAACGUCCGGAAACGGGCGCUAAUACCGCAUACGUCCUGAGGGAGAAAGUGGGGGAUCUUCGGACCUCACGCUAUCAGAUGAGCCUAGGUCGGAUUGGCUAGUUGGUGGGGUAAAGGCCUACCAAGGCGACGAUCCGUAACUGGUCUGAGAGGAUGAUCAGUCACACUGGAACUGAGACACGGUCCAGACUCCUACGGGAGGCAGCAGUGGGGAAUAUUGGACAAUGGGCGAAAGCCUGAUCCAGCCAUGCCGCGUGUGUGAAGAAGGUCUUCGGAUUGUAAAGCACUUUAAGUUGGGAGGAAGGGCAGUAAGUUAAUACCUUGCUGUUUUGACGUUACCAACAGAAUAAGCACCGGCUAACUUCGUG